GUCCACUUAAAAGUAUAUUCUUCCUUUAAUCUAUCUUGGGUUUCCAGGUCUAGAUUUAAGCUCAUAAUGAUUGACUUAGAUGUAUUGAGCUUAUAAUUUGACAUAUCUCCAAAUAAUUCUAAUUCUUUAAGUAGGGAUUUAAUCAAAUUUAAAGGAUCUGUUAAUGUCAUUAUGACAUCAUCGGAAUAUAGACUUAAUUUUGCC